GAAAUGCGAUAAGUAAUGUGAAUUGCAGAAUUCAGUGAAUCAUCGAAUCUUUGAACGCACCUUGCGCUCCUUGGUAUUCCUUGGAGAAUGCCUGUUUGAGUAUCAUGAAAUCUUCAAAGUAAAUCUUUUGUUAACUCAAUUGGUUUCUACUUUGGUAUUGGAGGUCUUUGCAGCUUCACACCUGCUCCUCUUUGUUCAUUAGCUGGAUCUCAGUGUUAUGCUUGGUUCCACUCGGCGUGAUAAGUUAUCUAUCGCUGAGGACACUGUAAAAGGUGGCCAAGGUAAAUGCAGAUGAACCGCUUCUCAUAGUCCAUUGACUUGGACAAUACUUUUAUGAUCUGAUCUCAAAUCAGGUAGGACUACCCGCUGAACUUAAGC
rnacentral:misc_RNA from 1 species